rnacentral:rRNA from 1 species
CCUACGGGGUGCAGCAGUGAGGAAUAUUGGUCAAUGGCCGCAGGGCUGAACCAGCCAAGUCGCGUGAGGGAUGACGGUCCUAUGGAUUGUAAACCUCUUUUGUCAGGGCGCAAAGGGCGCCACGUGUGGCGCUUUGCGAGUACCUGAAGAAAAAGCAUCGGCUAACUCCGUGCCAGCAGCCGCGGUAAUACGGAGGAUGCGAGCGUUAUACGGAUUUAUUGGGUUUAAAGGGUGCGCAGGCGGAAUGUCAAGUCAGCGGUAAAAUUUCGGGGCUCAACCCCGUCGUGCCGUUGAAACUGGCGUUCUUGAGUGAGCGAGAAGUAUGCGGAAUGCGUGGUGGAGCGGUGAAAUGCAUAGAUAUCACGCAGAACUCCGAUUGCGAAGGCAGCAUACCGGCGCUCAACUGACGCUCAUGCACGAAAGCGUGGGUAUCGAACAGGAUUAGAUACCCCGGUAGUC